GGUCUGGUGGUGUAAUGGUAACAUACCUGCUUUUAUUAAUUUGUUAUGAAAGUUUCCACGGGAGAUUCUUUGUUCGAUUCAAGGCCAGCCCA